GGAAGGCGCUUUUCAAAGUUAAACGAUGUUUCGCAAUGACAACUUGACAG
ensembl:ncRNA Y48A6B.15 ncRNA